rnacentral:rRNA from 1 species
UACAGAGGGUGCUAGCGUUGUUCGGAAUCAUUGGGCGUAAAGCGCGUGUAGGCGGCUACGCAGGUCCGUUGUGAAAACUGGAGGCUCAACCUCCAGACGUCGACGGAAACCGUGUGGCUAGAGUCCGGAAGAGGAGAGUGGAAUUCCUGGUGUAGCGGUGAAAUGCGCAGAUAUCAGGAAGAACACCAAUGGCGAAGGCAGCUCUCUGGGACGGUACUGACGCUGAGACGCGAAAGCGUGGGGAGCGAACAGG